UGCGUAGGCGGUUUAUUAAGUCAGUGGUGAAAGACGGUCGCUCAACGAUUGCAGUGCCAUUGAUACUGGUAGACUUGAGUGUGAUUGAGGUAGCUGGAAUGGAUAGUGUAGCGGUGAAAUGCAUAGAUAUUAUCCAGAACACCGAUUGCGUAGGCAGGUUACUAAUACGAUACUGACGCUGAUGCACGAAAGUGUGGGGAUCAAACAGGAUUAGAUACCCCCGUA
rnacentral:rRNA from 1 species